rnacentral:lncRNA from 1 species
UUUGAGGGGGAAGAACUUGGAGGUUUGCGUGCCCACAGAACUCACCAUCCUGUCUCCUCCAGGGCUCAGCCAGCCGGGAGGGCCGUGGGCUCGGCCCCGUCGCUGACACUCGUGCAUUGAAAGGAGACCCCAAACAGAGACUCGGAGAUAACAGCCAUCUACUUCAGCAGUGACGUAAAGGUCUGCAGAUCCCCAGGACCCACAUCCAGAGAGCUCCCGGCUAUGAGUGCACCUGGCUGCCCUCCCCACAACUAUUACUUCCUGCGCGGGCAUGAAUUGCGUGAAUUCCAGCUCGGUCAGGAUCACAGAGAAGCCACCGCUUUGCCAAGGCAGGUUUGCACUAGAGCCGCAGCCCCUCUGGUCAGCAGCAGAGAAACCUCGAGAAGUCUCCAUGCCGGGGUUUAGGAACACAGCAGAACGAGAGAAACAAAACUUCCAGGAAAAAUAAAACCCACAAACCACACCAUGGCAUCAUUUUUUUCCCAUUCCAUUCCAUUCCAGAAAUAAUGAGUCAUUUGUUCAUUUUGGUCCUUGCUGACAGGAAGCGAGUUUAGAAAGAUCCCAGUGGUCUCCAAGUACCAAAAUGCCAUGAGACAAACCCUGACGAUCCCGGAGCGGCUGGAACAGCGUGUAGCCCGACCCUCCUAACAGGCCGAGGACACGCAGCUGAUCCCUGGCGGAAAUGGUUCACUCUGUACAAUUGUUUUGCCUCCCCAAACAGCGAUUGCUAAGGAGAAAGCCAUCUCCUCUUCACAGUGAUUCUGCUGAAUAAGAGAUCCAAACUAAAACCAGCCAAAUCAGCCCCCCCAGCCCCUUGUCUACCACCUCCUUAUCCCCCUCCCCUCAAGCGUAACCCCCUCCCCAGCUGCCCUCCCUGCACCCGUGGGUGAUGUAGCAGAGCGUGCAGCGUUUGGUGGUCUCUCAUCUUGUUCACGGGGUC